GCCCCCAUCGUCUAGAGGCCCAGGAUGCAUGGUUCUCAGCCAUGAGACCCCGGUUCGAAUCCGGGUGGGGGUACCA
rnacentral:tRNA from 1 species